rnacentral:rRNA from 1 species
GACGAACGCUGGCGGCGUGCUUAACACAUGCAAGUCGAACGGACAGGCCCUGCUUUUGUUGGUUUCUCGAUUGGCGAACGGGUGUGUAACACGUGAGUAACCUGCCCUUGACUUUGGGAUAACUUCAGGAAACUGGGGCUAAUACCGCAUAGGAUCUCCUGCUGCAUGUUGGUGGUUGGAAGGUUUCGGCUGUUCUGGCUGGACUCGCGGCUUAUCCGCUUGUUGGGGGGGUAGUGGCUUACCAAGGCUUUGACGGGUAGCCUGCCUGAGAGGGUUAACGGCAACAAUGGGACUGAGAGAGGGCCCAGACGGCUAUGGGAGGCAGAAGGGGGGAACAUUGCACAAUGGGCGGAAGCCUGAUGCAGAAACGCCGCGUGCGGGAUGACGGCCUUCGGGGUGUAAACAGAUUUCGAAGGUGACGAAGAGUGAGUGACGGUAAUGGGUAAAGAAGCACCGGCUAACUACGUG